UACGUAGGGGGCAAGCGUUGUCCGGAAUUAUUGGGCGUAAAGAGCGUGUAGGCGGGCUGACAAGUCUGGGGUGAAAUGCCGCGGCUCAACCGUGGAACUGCCUUAGAUACUGUCGGCCUCGAGGAAGGUAGGGGCAUGCGGAACUGUAGGUGGAGCGGUGAAAUGCGUUGAUAUCUACAGGAACUCCGGUGGCGAAAGCGGCGUGCUGGACCUUUUCUGACGCUGAGGCGCGAAAGCUAGGGGAGCAAACGGG
rnacentral:rRNA from 1 species